GGGCUCUUUUCAGAGCACGUCUGGACCAUUUUGACUAAGAGUCUAGCCCGGCCCUGGGAGAUGCCUCAUCUGACAAACAAAUCACCAGAUACCAAGCUUUGUGAGGAGGAGAUAAGAAUGGCUUAUCUUGGGUUCCCGGGAGGCUCAGCAGGUUAAGGAUCCGACGUUGUCACUACUGGGGCUCUGGUUACAGCUGUGGCACGGGUUCAAUCCCUGGCCCCAGGAACUUCUGCAAGGUGCCACAAAGAAUAAAAAGGAAUGGAGUCCAGAAAGUCGUUGCACCAUCAUUCUGUCUUACCUAUGGUUGUCAAGGUUACCAGAUCCUCAUGUUUCCUGGUAACCAUUCCUCCCAAAAUAGCCAGCACUGGUGCCAGCCGACUGCAGCCUGCAUCUCGAUCAUCUUUUACGCUGUUUUGAGGAGAAGGCAAGGAGGCGCUUUUACAAGGAAUAAGGUUUUACAGAGCACACACAAAUAUCCCUUAUCUGAUUUUUGCCAAAGAUGGCUAAAGAAUUACAAUCCCCAAUUUUCAGGUGACCCAGCAGCCUCAGAGAGGUUAGGCGAGUGACUUGUCUGCUCUCGGGAAUUGCAAGUGAAUGGGAAAUUCAGAUUUUCUGAGGCCAUGGACGGCCCAGAUGCUGCCUCUUGCUGCUGAGGUUGCGCUGCAGAGAGGGUGUCCUGCGUCAAGGCGCCUGCGAGGGUUUCAGCCUGUGGGGCUGAGCUUCUACUUUAGUAGCUGACACUGCCCCCUUCUUCCUCGUCCACGGAACCCUGAUUUUGUUCUGGUCCGGGAGCUCUACGAUUCCCAGGGUCUCCUGGGCAGUUAAGCUUGAUGAGCUGUGGUGAUAAUGCUACCCCCCUCGCUAGUGAUUGUUUAAAUGAGGGCUGUGACCCAACCUUGGCCGGUGGAGGUAGAGAAAAAGAUCCACGUGUUGCUGAGCUCAGUUAUGAGUAAGGAGAAGAGAGCAUGAGGACAACGCAGGAGGCCGUCCGCAAACUCUCCAGCCACAGUUCGAGUUUCUACUCCGUUAAGCCCUCUGUCUAGCUGAGCGUCUACUUCUGCAUGGGGUCCAGGUGACACGCUUAUGUCCCCUCUUCAUGCCUCUGCCACCUCUGAGGGAUGUUUACACCCCAUCGGGCUGCUCACACCACCUUCCCCGUCCCAUGCAUGGUGCAGACUAUGAACCCCUCAACACGCUCAAGAGGGCAAAAACUGGUAAUCGCUGUGUAGACGGCGCAUGCCGAGGCUCUCCCGGGAACAGGCUGUGGCAGCUGGAAAGCCCUCCCACCGUGAGCAGGACGGGGGUUAAGGCGUGGCCCUGUGACUCACAGAGACGCCGAGUGGCUGCCCAGAGGACACCAAAACAGGAGAUGUGGAGAGCCAGUGCAGAGCCGCAAGCUGAGCUGGCCUGUGAUGCAGGCGCCAGGGAGCCGGGCCCAAAUUCCCACACGCUCCCACCCGGGGCAUCCUUCCCAGAGGGAUGAGCCCGAGGAUGACCCCACUGGCAGACACAGCAGGGGUGACACAGCAGGGGUGACACAGCAGGGGUGGCGGAGGCCCCAGCCAGGUGGACCUGGACCCAAGACCAUAGACACAAGCCUUCAUGAUCACGUGGUUCACGUCUCCCUUCUCCCCAAAGACCCUAAGUCCUCAAAGAGCAGGGGUGGCGCCUGUCCUUCGCACUGCCACACCCCUCGUGCCUGGCACAGAGUAGGUCCCACUACAUUUGCUGUCUGAUAGCCUCCCAACUCAGGCCUCACCUGGAGCCACAGUGCAGGAACAUUUACUGGGUAUCAGCCACCUGCUUAGAACCGAAUGAGCUAUUUCCCCACGUGGUGUCUCAGGUCAUCGUAACAACCUCGGCAGUUAGGUAUUACUAUUUUUCCUUUUUUGGGGCCGCACCCAUGGCUUAUGGCAGUUCCCAGGCUAGGGAUCGAAUCUGAGCUGCAGCUGAAAUUCUACACCACAGCCACAGCAACUCCAGAUCCCAGCCACGUCGGCGACUUAUGCUACGAGGCCAGAUCCUGAACCCACUACUGAGCAAGGCCAGGGAUCAAACCCAUAUCCUCAUGGAUACUAGUCAGGUUCUUAACCACUGGGCCACAAGGAGAACUUUGACAGUUAGGUAUUAUUAUCCUCACUGGGACAGAACAGAGCCCAGCGUCCCUCCCAGACACUGUGUUCCAGUCUCCGGAAUGCAGGAGCAGAGGCAGACCCUAGAGAGAGUCCCACCUCCUCCGUGUGCAAAGUCAGCCCCUUGCCUGAUCCUUACACAAGCCCUGGGAGCUAUCAUCCCAUCAGUCCGCCCAUUGUACAGAACAGGAAACAGCGGCUUGGAGGGGUUAACACCUCGCUUCAGCCCCUCAGCUACAGGCAGCGGAGCAGGGCUUGAACCCAGAUCAUUCGGACUCCUAAGCCCCAGCUCCUUCCACUAACAUGGACUCAACACUGGACUUUUGUUGUGGACUAAACUGUAUUUCCCAGGAGUUCCCGUCGUGGCUCAGUGGUUAAUGAAUCCGACUAGGAACCAUGAAGUUGUGGGUUCGAUCCCUGGUCUCGCUCAGUGGGCUAAGGAUCUGGCAUUGCCGUGAACUGUGGUGUAGGCUGCAGACACAGCUCAGAUCCCGUGUUGCUGUGGCUCUGGCUGCAGGCUGGCGUCUACGGCUCCGAUUGGACCCCUAGCCUGGGAACCUCCAUAUGCUACGGGAGUGGCCCAAAAAAUAGCAAAAAGACAAAAAAAAAAAAAAAAAAAAAAAG
rnacentral:lncRNA from 1 species